rnacentral:rRNA from 1 species
AUGUGUGGACAUGACAAUGAGACGUUGUUUCACUCGUUGAUGAAAUGUGACCAUGCAAGACGCUUUUGGGAGGCAGCAGAACGAUUCUUUGGUAUUGGCAUACCACGAUUACACCCACUGUCAUGGUCUCGAGAUCUACUAGAUCAACGAUUAUACAAGAAGGAGGUGGCGGCUAUUAUGAUCACCGUGAUGUGGGCUGUGUGGCACUCCAGGAACAACUACACUCAUGGCGAGUUAGUGUAUCAGCCGGUUAAAUCAAUGGUGAUUAUUGAAGAGAUUAUCAGGGCACUUGAGAUCCCUGAGAGGAAGAAGGCCCAAGCUACUGCCCUCCCGAGGUGGCUGCCACCAGAGGAGGGAUGGAUCAAGAUCAAUACCGAUGGUGCUACGGACAUGGGUCUACUACGUGGAGGAGCGGCCUUCAUUGCUCGAGAUCAUUAUGGAGCUCUCAUUAGAGCUGGAGGAUCACGAUAUGAUGGGAUCGCUGACCCGUUAUCCAUUGAGCUACUUGCAUGUAGGGACGCGAUCCUAAUGGCACACGACAUGGGCUUUCAGCAAGUGGUGUUGGAGACAGACUGUCAAGAAAUCCAGUGGCUCUGGGAGGUACCUCAGAGGUCGACGUGUUUUCACCUCAUUACGGAGAUGAAGGAGAUGUCUACUUUGUUUCACGGAUUUAGGCUACGGUUUGCGUGUCGCCAGACUAAUAUGGCGGCACACCGUCUAGCUAGACACUCGUUAAAACUUUCUUUUUUUAUGCACUUGUAUGACACGAUCCCUAGAUGGCUGACUGAUUGUUUGCAGUCAGACAUGCUAACGCCUAAUGAAUAA